CCUACGGGAGACAGCAGUGAGGAAUAUUGGUCAAUGGACGAGAGUCUGAACCAGCAAAGUAGCGUGAAGGAUGACUGCCCUAUGGGUUGUAAACUUCUUUUAUAUGGGAAUAAAAUGUUCCACGUGUGGGAUUUUGUAUGUACCAUAGGAAUAAGGAUCGGCUAACUCCGUGCCAGCAGCCGCGGUAAUACGGAGGAUCCGAGCGUUAUCCGGAUUUAUUGGGGUUAAAGGGAGCGUAGGUGGAUUGUUAAGUCAGUUGUGAAAGUUUGCGGCUCAACCGUAAAAUUGCAGUUGAAACUGGCAGUCUUGAGUACAGUAGAGGUGGGCGGAAUUCGUGGUGUAGCGGUGAAAUGCUUAGAUAUCACGAAGAACCCCGAUUGCGAAGGCAGUUCACUGGACUGCAACUGACACUGAGGCUCGAAAGUGUGGGUAUCAAACAGGAUUAGAUACCCCAGUAGUC
rnacentral:rRNA from 1 species